CAGUGAUUCACAACAGAAAUUUUAGGCCCUAAGAAGUCCCUCCCAUAAUUUCUCAUUCAGCAUUUUCUAAGGACAAAGACUGAACAAGUAACAUACUUUAG